rnacentral:rRNA from 1 species
CCUACGGGUGGCAGCAGUGAGGAAUAUUGGUCAAUGGGCGCGAGCCUGAACCAGCCAAGUCGCGUGAGGGAGGACGGCCCUACGGGUUGUAAACCUCUUUUUCCGGGGACCAACGUGCUUCACGUUUGGCGCCACUGAGUGUACCCGGAGUAAAAGCAUCGGCUCACUCCGUGCCAGCAGGCGCUGUAAUACGGAGUAUGCGCGCGAUAUCCGGAUUUAUUGGGUUUAAAGUGUGCACAGUCGGAGGUGAAAGUCAGCGGUAAAAUUGCGGGGCUCCAACCCGUACUGCCGUUGAAACUGCAUCGCUUGAGUGCGCGAGAAGUAUGCGGAAUGCGUGGUGUAGCGGUGAAAGGCAUAGAUAUCACGCAGAACUCCGAUUGCGAAGGCAGCAUACGGGCGCGCAACUGACGCUGAUGCACGAAAGCGUGGGUAUCGAACAGGAUUAGAUACCCUUGUAGUC